GACGAGGGAUCCUAGCGUUGUUCGGAAUCAUUGGGCGUAAAGGGUGCGUAGGUGGCUACGUAAGUCAGUUGUGAAAUCCCCGGGCUCAACCCGGGAAGUGCUUCUGAUACUGCAUAGCUUGAAUAUUGGAGAGGUGAGUGGAAUUCCAGGUGUAGUGGUGAAAUACGUAGAUAUCUGGAGGAACACCGGCGGCGAAGGCGGCUCACUGGCCAUAUAUUGACACUGAAGCACGAAAGCGUGGGGAGCAAACAGG
rnacentral:rRNA from 1 species